rnacentral:tRNA from 1 species
GGUUGGGUAGCUCAGCUGGUUAGAGCGCCGGACUCAUAAUCCGGAGGUCGAGAGUUCAAGUCUCUCUCCAACCACCA